rnacentral:rRNA from 1 species
CAGCAGCCACGGGAAUACGAAGGGGGCUAGCGUUGUUCGGAUUUACUGGACGUAAAGCGCACGUAGGCGGAUCGAUCAGUCAGGGGUGAAAUCCCAGAGCUCAACUCUGGAACUGCCUUUGCUACUGUCGAUCUGGAGUAUGGAAGAGGUGAGUGGAAUUCCGAGUGUAGAGGUGAAAUUCGUAGAUAUUCGGAGGAACACCAGUGGCGAAGGCGUCUCACUGGUCCAUUACUGACGCUGAGGUGCGAAAGCGUGGGGAGCAAACAGGAUUAGAUACCCCCGUAGUCCCUGUCUCUUAUAC